GCGGAUCCGCGGCCGCUGCAGAGUUUGAUCCUGGCUCAGGACGAACGCUGGCGGCGUGCCUAACACAUGCAAGUCGAGCGGUCUAACACUCAACACUGAGCACUUAUAAAAAGUGAGAUACCGAAACUUAAGCCAGCGUCAAGCGAGCGACAGCGUCUUCACGCAAAAUAGCCAACACAUGCUUAAGUGUUUAGUGUUGAGUGUUAGAUAGCGGCGGACGGGUGAGUAACACGUGGGCAACCUGCCCUAUACAGGGGGAUAGCCAACCGAAAGGCUGAUUAAUACCGCAUAACCCAGCGAGAGGGCAUCCUUAAGCUGGCAAAGGAGAAAUCCGGUAUAGGAUGGGCCCGCGUCCCAUUAGCUAGUUGGUGAGGUAACGGCUCACCAAGGCGACGAUGGGUAGCCGAUCUGAGAGGAUGAACGGCCACAUUGGAACUGAGACACGGUCCAGACUCCUACGGGAGGCAGCAGUGGGGAAUAUUGCGCAAUGGGGGAAACCCUGACGCAGCAACGCCGCGUGAGCAAAGAAGGCCUUCGGGUCGUAAAGCUCUGUCUUUAGGGACGAAGAUGACGGUACCUAAGGAGGAAGCCACGGCUAACUACGUGCCAGCAGCCGCGGUAAUACGUAGGUGGCGAGCGUUGUCCCGAAUUACUGGGCGUAAAGGGUGCGUAGGCGGGAAAUUAAGUCAGAUGUGAAAACCCCGCGCUCAACCUGGGGAGUGCA
rnacentral:rRNA from 1 species